AGGGAAGCCGGUGAGGUCGCGCGAGUUCCUCGCGCGGCGGCCGAGGCCGGCACGGUCCCGCCACUGUGAGUGGGGAGGGGGCUCCCACGCGACGGCCACUGUCCGCGGAGCGCGGAUGGGAAGGCCGGGGGCCCGCGACGAUCCACGAGUCAGGAGACCU
rnacentral:ncRNA from 2 species